UACAGAGGGUGCAAGCGUUAAUCGGAAUUACUGGGCGUAAAGCGUGCGUAGGUGGUUCUUUAAGUCAGGUGUGAAAUCCCCGGGCUCAACCUGGGAACUGCAUUUGAUACUGAAGAGCUAGAGUGUGGUAGAGGAUAGUGGAAUUCCCGGUGUAGCGGUGAAAUGCGUAGAUAUCGGGAGGAACAUCAGUGGCGAAGGCGGCUAUCUGGACCAACACUGACACUGAGGCACGAAAGCGUGGGUAGCAAACAGG
rnacentral:rRNA from 2 species